rnacentral:rRNA from 1 species
AUGCUAGGACAACCUGUUAAUUUUAUUUGCUGGAAUGUAAGGGGCCUUAACUGCCCGGAUCGUCGUGCUACCGUUCAUGAAACUAUUGCUGCCACUUCGUGUCAUUUGGCUUGUCUCCAGGAGACCAAACUUGCUGCCAUGGAGCAGUUUACCGCUGCCUUUCUUGGGGGAGCUAGGCUCAAGAGUUUUGCCCAGCGGCCGGCUGUGGGAACUAGAGGAGGCAUUUUGCUUCUUUGGGAUGACGAGGCUGUGCAGGUCUCAGAUGUUGUUGCUGCUACCUUCUGCCUUUCCGCUACUGUCUUAGUCCGUGCCACCAACAUUUCCUUCAAGCUCACGGCCGUUUAUGGCCCCACGGCCUCCUCUCUGAAGAACGAUUUUUUCUCCGAACUUCUUGCUCAAAAGCCGUCGUCGGGUACGAAGUGGCUGGUUCUAGGCGACUUUAACCAAAUAUACAGGGCUCGGGACAAGAACAAGCGAAACAUCAACCGUAGCCGUAUCAACCGAUUUCGCAACACUCUCCAUGAGUGUGAGCUCAACGAGAUACACCUCCAGAACAGAAGGUUCACUUGGAGCGACGAACGUGCCAACCCUACCCUUUGCAAGCUUGACUCCUUUUUCUGCAAUACAGACUGGGACCUCAGUUUCAGUUCUCACGUCCUUCAUGCGCUCUCCUCGUCGCUAUCCGAUCAUUGUCCUCUCCUCCUUGCGGAUGACAGUGGCCCUCGGCGGCCCCGCUCCUUCAAAUUUGAGAAUUUUUGGGUCUCCAUGCCGGGCUUCAUGAAUGUUGUCAGUAACGCAUGGCAUGAGGAUUGCAACCACGCUGAAUCUUCAUGA